rnacentral:rRNA from 1 species
AGCAAACGCUGGCGGCAGGCUUAACACAUGCAAGUCGAACGCCCCGCAAGGGGAGUGGCAGACGGGUGAGUAACACGUGGGAACGUACCCUUUGGUUCGGAAUAACUUGGGGAAACUCAAGCUAAUACCGGAUAAGCCCUUAUGGGGAAAGGUUUACUGCCGAAGGAUCGGCCCGCGUCUGAUUAGCUAGUUGGUGAGGUAAUGGCUCACCAAGGCGACGAUCAGUAGCUGGUCUGAGAGGAUGAUCAGCCACACUGGGACUGAGACACGGCCCAGACUCCUACGGGAGGCAGCAGUGGGGAAUAUUGGACAAUGGGGGCAACCCUGAUCCAGCCAUGCCGCGUGAGUGGUGAAGGCCUUAGGGUUGUAAAGCUCUUUUACCCGGGACGAUAAUGACUGUACCGGGAGAAUAAGCCCCGGCUAACUUCGUGCCAGCCGCCGCGGUAA